rnacentral:rRNA from 1 species
UACGGAAGGGGGCUAGCGUUGUUCGGAAUUACUGGGCGUAAAGCGUACGUAGGCGGCUUUGUAAGUUAGAGGUGAAAGCCCGGGGCUCAACUCCGGAAUUGCCUUUAAGACUGCAUCGCUUGAAUCAUGGAGAGGUGAGUGGAAUUCCGAGUGUAGAGGUGAAAUUCGUAGAUAUUAGGAGGAACACCAGUGGCGAAAGCGACUGUCUGGACCAUUAUUGACGCUGAGGCGCGAAAGCGUGGGGAGCAAACAGG